CCUCCUUUUCUUGGCCGGCCUGGGCGAUUGGUGCCCAGCUCUGUAAUGUCUGGAGGUAAAGAAAAAGCGAACCAGUGUUCUGUCUUCGGUGCCAGCGGCGUUUCCAUCUGCUGGUUCUAUCCUCAAGCCCUGGGACAAAA